CCUUCUUCCUUCCCCGCUUCACCCCCAAAUCUCCGCCAGCGCCCUGCGCCACCACCAACCCGCCUCCCGGCGCCACCGCGCUGCCCUACACCGCCCCUACGUCCCCGCACACCUUCCUGCCACCUCCCAGCCCGUGCUGAUGCCGGCCCCCUAAUCCUAGCACCCGAUCACCGCGCCGGCCCUACCACCGGAUCAAGACUGCCACGGUCCGCCGUGAUGCCUCCGGUGCCUCCCUGCGACGGAUCCGGCUAGAUCCAGCCCCGCUGCUCCUAGCCACCUUCCUCUCGGCCCUGGCUGGGCCGCAACUGGCACCGCAGUGGUACCCCGCCCUGCCCUCCCGCUGCCUCCCGCCAGGAUCCGUCCGCCGCAGCCAACCUCCUCCAUCGCGCGCCUACAACGAUCCACGACGGGGAGGUGCCCCUACUGCCUCGAUCUGAUUCCGACGAGGAGCUCCUCCCUCCCGCUCCUCUCCGGUGGGGCGUCGGGAUGGGUCCCCUCCACGCCCCGCGCCCCCUCCCGGCUAGCCGCGCCGCUAACCACGAGCCUCCCCACGACACGCCGACGCUCCACGGCCCUAGGCCUGCCCGAAUCGCCCAUGGCGAUGGAUCAGCGAGAUCCACUCUUGGGUGACCUCCACCUCAUGUCGGUGCUCCUGUGCAACGGAAACAAGCAACAUCAGCUCUCCCCCAAAGCGCAGUUCACCUCCCGUUCAUGGAUUCGUGGAUGGAACCAGGAGGCCACCUACUUUUUCUCUCCCGAGCUUCUCUGCAGCUAAGCAAUGGGAGAGCCUCCUAGUGAGCACUUGCUCCAGCCGUGGGAUCUCAACUCCUCCCUCCGUCAUGGAUCCACGAUGGGACAGCACGGUGAUGCAGUUCGGCAUGCGCACGCGUGCAGCACGGUUGGGGCAGCGAGGCAGCUCGUGUAGUUCCCUUCAGUUCCGUUCGAGUGCCAGAUCCUCCCGAAGCAACCGAGGCGCACUUCCUCCUCUCCGCAGCGGAGGCGCACCCCUACCUUCGCGCGACCAUCAACGGCGACCCUUCCCGCGCGGGUUCCGGCAUCGAUCCGUGGCUUACGGCCGCGGACGCCGUCCCAACCCCUUCUUCUUCGAGUAGCACACAAUGCACCGGGACCCCGCCUCCGUCGCCGCGUUCUUGCUGACGGAGGAUUGGUUCACCAGGACCAGCCCGGCUAGGUGGAGUUCCAGCUCAGCCUUGUCUCAUUCCCGAGCUCGUGCGCCAGAUCCAACCUUGACAGAGCUCCAACCAGCACCGUCGCUGUCCAAGCCGGCGACUGCGACUCUGCACACAGGCGUGUAGUUCUGCCCAUGGGGAAGUGCAGCUCGGCCAACGGGGGCGUGCAGUUCGGCCCACAUCGUCGACGGCUUCCACGACUACGAUUCUGCACACGACGCAUGCAGCUCAACCAACGGGAGCGUGCAGUUCGGCCCAUGGCAUCGGUGGCUUUUCGGCGAACUAGCGUCUGCACGGCUAGUUCCCUUGUACUCUGCACACGUCGAUGAUUUUUUAUGAGGGGUUCAUUGUGUAUGUUGCAGAGGUCAGGCGUCCACAUAUGCGCGUACAGUUGAGCACGGCGCCAGGUGCAGUUGAGCUCGUCCUGAGGCAAGCGUUAAUACAAGCGGCAGGCAGAGGCAGUACAGGGGUGGCCUGCUUGCUGAUGGAUGCGCAUCCUCAACUGCAAGCAGUUUCCAGUUUCGCUACGACACGUUGUGGAUUUUCGUUUUGUUUUCAGGCAGCCCAUGAUUACCACAGGCGCAUAGCUUCGGAAUUUUGUUUGCUCCAUUUGUAGUUCUCUCAAUGUGCAGAAGAGAAAAUGUUUCACAUUUUUGAA